UCGGCGACGUUUGUUUGAUC
rnacentral:siRNA from 1 species